rnacentral:rRNA from 1 species
UACGUAGGCAGCAAGCGUUGUUCGGAAUUACUGGGCGUAAAGAGUGUGUAGGCGGUGCUCUAAGUUCGGUGUGAAAUCUCCCGGCUCAACUGGGAGGGUGCGCCGGAAACUGGAAUGCUUGAGCGUGGGAGAGGAAAGCGGAAUUCCUGGUGUAGCGGUGAAAUGCGUAGAUAUCAGGAGGAACACCGGUGGUGUAGACGGCUCUCUGGACCGUAACUGACGCUGAGACACGAAAGCGUGGGUAGCAAACAGG